UACGUAGGCAGCAAACGUUGUUCGGAAUUACUGGGCGUAAAGAGUGUGUAGGCGGUUUCGUUAGUCUGGUGUGAAAUCUCCCGGCUUAACUGGGAGGGUGCGCUAGAUACUGCGAGGCUUGAGUGUUGGAGAGGAAAGCGGAAUUCCUGGUGUAGCGGUGAAAUGCGUAGAUAUCAGGAGGAACACCUGUGGUGUAGACGGCUUUCUGGACAAUUACUGACGCUGAGACACGAAAGCGUGGGGAGCAAACAGG
rnacentral:rRNA from 1 species